CCAAACUGAAGUGAAGGUUAUUGGGAAAACACAUCACAAGAACCUAGUCCGCCUUCUUGGUUAUUGCAAUGAGGGGCCUAACAGGCUCUUGGUAUACGAGUACAUGAGAAAUGGGUCACUUGCUGAUGUAAUCUUCUCUCCUGAAAGCAGACCUUGUUUUGGAGAAAGAGUGGAGAUCGCCCGGAACAUAGCAAGGGGCAUCCUCUAUCUACAUGAAGAGUGUGAGGCACAGAUUAUCCACUGUGAUAUAAAACCAGGAAACAUACUACUGGAUGAGUACAGGUGUCCAAAAAUUUCUGACUUCGGAUUGGCAAAGCUGCUGAAGCCAGACCAAACAAAAACCUUUACAGGAAUCAGAGGAACUAGAGGUUAUGUUGCACCAGAAUGGCAUCAUAAUCUUCCUUUGACAGCUAAAGCAGACGUUUAUAGUUUUGGAGUUGUGUUAUUGGAGAUUGCAUGUUGUAGAAGGAAUGUGGAU
rnacentral:misc_RNA from 1 species